UACGUAGGGGGCAAGCGUUGUCCGGAUUCAUUGGGCGUAAAGAGCGUGUAGGCGGCUCGAUAAGUCCGCUCUGAAAGCCCGGGGCUCAACCCCGGGAGGCGGGCGGAUACUGUCGAGCUAGAGUCCGGAAGAGGCGAGUGGAAUUCCUGGUGUAGCGGUGAAAUGCGCAGAUAUCAGGAGGAACACCAAUGGCGAAGGCAGCUCGCUGGGACGGUACUGACGCUGAGACGCGAAAGCGUGGGGAGCAAACAGG
rnacentral:rRNA from 1 species